AUUGAACGAUGGCGGCAGGCUUAACACAUGCAAGUCGAGCGGGGGAAGGUAGCUUGCUACCGGACCUAGCGGCGGACGGGUGAGUAAUGCUUAGGAAUCUGCCUAUUAGUGGGGGACAACAUCUCGAAAGGGAUGCUAAUACCGCAUACGUCCUAUGGGAGAAAGCAGGGGAUCUUCGGACCUUGCGCUAAUAGAUGAGCCUAAGUCGGAUUAGCUAGUUGGGGGGGUAAAGGCCUACCGAGGCGACGAUCUGUAGCGGGUCUGAGAGGAUGAUCCGCGACACUGGGACUGAGACACGACCCAGAGUCCUGCGGGAGGCAGCAGGGGGGAAUAUUGGACAAUGGGGGGAACCCUGAUCCAGCCAUGCAGCGUGUGUGAAGAAGGCCUUAUGGUUGUAAAGCACUUGAAGCGAGGAGGAGGCUACUUUAGUUAAUACCUAGAGAUAGUGGACGUUACUCGCAGAAUAAGCACCGGCUAACUCUGUGCCUGCCGCCGCAGUAA
rnacentral:rRNA from 1 species